rnacentral:lncRNA from 1 species
UUACAUCUUACACAUAUAUGUUCCAGCUCCACAUCCCUCUUCAUAUUCAGUAUCCAUUUCAUGCCUUCUUCAUAUUUAGUAUUCAUUUGAUGCAUCUCUCGCUGGUUGACGUAUUACAUGUUUCUCAAUAUUCUCUUGUAUUCCAUUGAUACGAACCAGGCUCUCUAAAUAAGCAUGAAGGGAGAUGGUGAACCGAAAAUGAUCUAGGUAAGUAUUAAUCUCAAGCUCCUUAAGCUCUUGGGUGGAGGCGUCAAAUAGGAGUACUUCAUCAUUUGUGUCUGUAAGAAACAAGUCACCAUUUUUUCCAAAUCCCAAUGGGUGUACAACUCCAGAAAUGGAUUGUUUAGUCCACACUCCUUCACUUGUAACCCAUAAAUCAAAAGACGUGUCAAUUCUUUCCGUUGGGUAAACAAUAGCACCAAGUGAUCCAUUAAACACCAACAGAUUAACAUAGUAUUCUGGGAAAGACCCAACGAAUUCUGGGAUAGGUAAAAUUGAGAACUUCUCAUUCCCCAUGUCAAAUGAAAGAAUUAGUCCUCUAAAAUCAAGAUAUGCCCGUCUCUGUUUUCAUAUAGCAAAUUCCGUCUACAUAAUUAUUUCCCAAAGUUGUUCCAGUUGGUUUAUAAUCAGGACAUGGAAUUUCCUUCCAGGAAUUACUUCUAAGAGAAUACAACUCAACUUGGUACAUAAAAUGAGAAUGUGGAUAUUGUUCUUCACUAUUAACAAAAGUAAGAGUAACAAAUCGUAUGACUUUGUAGUCAUCAGUUUUAGAAUCAAACCCAAAAGAAGCGUGGUUAAAUUCAACGUGAUCUAAAGUAAGGUAGGUUUCUUCGAAUGGGGAAAAAUAUGGAGGGCGUUGGAUUGAAGAUGGUGGAAGGAUUUUAAACUCUCUGGUUGAUGGGUUCCAAAUGGCAGCCUUAUCCUUUGAAGGAUCAAGUAAACACAACAAUCCAUGACAAGCACCAUAAACAGAGGGGCGAUCAUUCUUAAAAAAGGGCAAGUGAAUGUUUUGUUUUACUAUAUAAUUUUGAUAUUUUUCAUUUGAAAGUUGAGAGAAAUAACGUUGGAAGGUGUUACCAUCACAGCGACUAAGCAGUAGAUUAAGGUUGUUGUUUUCAAGGUUGUUGUGAUAAUUAUUGGAAAUGAAAUGAGGAGUUUGAAAAGAAGAACACCAAUACUUACAAACACAGUUGAAGCGAGUAAGGGAUUUAACUGGAAGCUUUGACAGAAUUCCCAUAACCAAAGCUUCUGGCAAUUCAAAUCUUGGCCUCUGCAUCUUGCUAUUUUGAUUUUCUUUGUAAUUGGGUAAGAGGAAUGAAUAAGCAAGCAAAAUGGGAGUUGGUAUGGUCCAAACCUUAACCAGGAAGCAAAGAAGCAUAAAAGGUAAGCAUUUGAUAGGUUAUAAAAAUUAUAUGGAAUUUAGGAAAAUUUACUUAUUUGCAUUUGUAUCCAUGUGAGGAAGGAUUAAGAUCAAAUAUAAUAUAAUACAUACUUUUUGAAUUUAAUCCCCAAUUUUUAAAAGAUUAAAUUUAAAGGAUAUCACAUUUAUGUACUUUUUGAAAUUUAAUACUUAAUUUUUAUUUUUAAGAAUUCAAUCUCUCUAUUUUUUAAAAGCCAAAAACAGUGAUGUAGUUUUUUUUUUUACACAGCAAUCAAAAAAUAAAAAAUUUUAAAGGUAGUUUUUUUUUCUCCUUUCUGCUCUGUUCUUUUUUUGUCUGUUCUAUUUGAUUUUUUUUUAAAAAAAGGGAAAGAAAAUAAAAAAUAAAGAAGAAAAGUCGAACUUUAACUCUUCUUUUUUGCGUUUGCGCUGCCGUGGGAGGCCGAGGUUCGUCGUUUCCAAUGAAAAACGACAUUUAUUUUAGGCUCGGGGAGUCGAAAAGCUAAAAAAUGGCUUUCUUACAAUUUUCGGAUGGUCGGAGCCAUGGCCGGGGAGGGGAGCGCAGAGAGAGGGGAGAGACUGUUUCUGAGUUUUUCUUUAAAAAAAAAAGAAAGAGGAUAAAUGAAAUUAUUGAAAAAAUUUUGGUUUCUAUAAAGAUUGAAACAGCGCCGUUUUGGGCCUUAAUCCCAGUGAUCAAAAUGACAUCGUUUCACCCUAGGAUCCGCGCGUUGACCCGACCCGCCAAGGAGGAUCCGCAUUUUUUAUUAAUGGGAAAUUUUUGCAUUGAGCCCUUUCGCAUUUUCUAUCUUUUUAAUACAGUUUAUUUUUAUUUUCAAUUUUUACUCUAUGAUUUUUCUUUUAUUUCAAUUCAGUCCCGAGCAAAGUGAUGCGUUUUGGAGGGCGAGGAUAUUUCUAUUUCGAUCCCUCCAUUUCAUUCGCGUAGUGCAAUUCGGUCCCUUACCUCAUUUUAUUCCUGAUUUCAACCCUAAGAUUUUCUUUCAUUUUCAAUUUAAUCCUUUUCUGUUGUUAUUAUUAUAAUAUUAUUAAACUAAUUAAUUUAAUAUUAUUAUUACAUUAUAUUUCUUUUUCCCUUUUGUGUUUACUUAUUAUUAUCCUUAUUUCUUUUAGAUAUUUUUUAUUAUUAUCUUAUUAUUUAUUUAUCUAAAUCCUUUCAAACUUUAGAUUAUUUAUUAUUUAUUUAUUGGUUUACUAUUAGGUUCUAUUGUUUUUUUUUAUUUUUUAUUUAGUUUUUACCUAUUAUUUUUUCUUUUUAUUUAUAUAGGUUAUUUCUUUAUUUUAUUUUAUUUUCGUCCUUACUAUUGUCAUUCAAAUUACACAUUUAUUAUUAUUCUGUUAUGCAUGGUAGUACCGUGAUUUAUUUCUCACAUUUUACUACGUACAAAAUCGUGCUACAUUUUACCCGAUUCAUUAAAAAUGAUGUUUUAAACAAGUAAUAUUUCAUAUUUUAAAAUUCAAAAAGUCGUUCUCUAACUUAGGGGGUUGGACUUUCUAAAAAAAUCCAAAUACCCGAACAAUUUUAAGCAUAAAUUUUAAAUAAUCUCGGGAAUUACUAAAAGAUCGCAUUCUAACUUACGGAAUAUGAUUUUCUUCUAAAACUGAUAUAGUCAAACAUCUUUUAAAAUAAAUUUUUCGGCGUUUAUUUGUGCAUCAAGAAUUUAAGACAUUUUGUCCUAACUCACUGGAUGCAAUUCUUUUUCUCGAUUAACGUGAAAUAUGCCUCUUUCUCGAAAAUUUUUCAUAUUUUAACAAAGGAUCGUAUUUUAAAUCUCUUCAAAGUUUUCAAUUUUCGAUACCGAGACACUAAUUAAUCAACUAGGUACCAUUUCUGGGCGUUAUGAGGGUGCUAAUUAAAGGUGAUCAUGGGUUGGGCAGCCCGGCCCGGCCUGAUGGCCCGCCCAAAAUAUGGGAGGGUUCGAGUAAAAAUAUAGGCCCGAAAUAUGGGUUUGGCCAAAAAAUGAGGCCCAUUGGCAAAACUUUUUUUGUCCGAGCCCGACCCGAAUAUAUAAUAAAUAUAUAUUUUUAUUUUUAAAAUACAUUUUCCAUUUCCCCAUUUCCCAUUAGACAUUUAGUAUUUAUAUAAUAAAUAUUUUAAUUUUUAAUUUUAAAGUAUUUUUAAAAUACUUUUUAUUUUUAUUUUAAAAUAAAAUUUUGGUGUUUAUUAAAAAAUGGGACGGGCUCGGACUUAGGAAUUUUUCCCGGGCCGGGCCUGGACAAAAUUUCAGGCACAUAUUUUAGGCCAGGCCGGGCCCAAGACCAGGACACGGGCCAAAAAAAUUUCUGGGCCCGUCCCGGCCCGACCCAUUAUCACCUUUAGUGCUAAUCCUUCAUCAUACGUAAUCGACGCCUGAACUUGUCUUUCUAAAUUUGAUGGACCAAAAUUGUUGUUUUGAGAAAUCAAGUCGUUCAUUAAAAACAAUCACUUUUUGAGGUGACCCGAUCACACCGGCCGGCCUCAUCAAAAAUGAUUGGUGGCGACUCUCAUUUUUCAUUUUUUUAAAAUAAAAGUCGACCUUUUUCAAAUAAAAUGGUUUCAACAGUUAACACCGUUAAAAUUGUUAAAAUUCUUUGGCAUAAUUGUCGAAUAUACUCUCAAUGUUUAUGGGUUUUUGGCUUGAGCCCUUAAAUUUUAUUUUGAUUGACACCCUCAAUGUUACGAUUUUUUUCAUAAAUCCAUCCAAUUUUAAUAGGAAACGUGAGUUAACCGUCAGUCAAAUCGCAAGUCAAUGAAGCAGCCUAUGUGGCUUGCUACAUAAGCAUGAGGUCAUAGAUGACGUCAUUUAUAAAAAAUAAAAUUGUUUAACAAAAUUCCUUUUUUUUCAUUUUGUUUCAAUCUUCUUUGUUCUUCUUCUCUUUCUCUCUUCCCCUCUUGCUGUUGUCGUCGUUGUGUCCAACCCCAUUGUCGCCUUCCCUUUCACUCCUCACCGUCCCAACCCCCACCACCGCUCACUUCCCUCUCACUCCUCACCGUUGAUCUCAUUGGCAUCUCUUCUAACAUUUGUGGUGAGAUCAACAGUGAAGAGUGAGAGGGAAGGUGGCGACAGCGGGGGUUGGAUACAAUGGCAACAGUAGCUAGAGGGAAAAUAGAAAGAGGUGAAGAAAUAAAUUGAAACAAAAUGAAAAAAAAUAUGUUAAAUAAUUUUGUUUAUAGAAGACAUCAUCUAUGAACUCGUGCUUAUGUGGCACGCCACAUAGGCUACUUUGUUGACCUGUGGUUUGACCGACGAUCAACUCACAUUUUCCAUUAAAAUUGGGCUGAUUUAUUAAAAAAUUGUACCGUUAAGGGUUUCAAUCCAAAAAAAAAAAAGGUUAAUGGCUCAAACCCAAAAACUCAAAAAAGUUGAGGGUUUUUUUGACAAUUAUGCCAAAUUCUUUGUUAAAUUUGUUGGUUUGAUAUUCUUUGUUAAAUUUUUUGGUUUGAUAUUCUUUCAAAAGUACAUUAUAAUGCCUUUUUUUUUUGUUAACCCAAACCCAAACUUUUGAAAUCAAAUACUAUUUUGAGAGGGAAAAGAUUUGAUUUUGUUUUUUGUUCAAUUGCUUGAAUCUAGUUGGAUAGUUUCUAUUUUCGUUUUAUUAACCAUUUAAAGUGUCAAAACCAUUUUUUGAAAACAAAAAUUAGUUGUCGACUUAAAACGAAAAUUGGAGUCGCCACCAAUCUUUUAUUGAGGUGUGAUCGGAUCACCUUAAAAAUGAUUUUGGUCUACAAGUUUUAGAGAAAAGCGGGUUCGGGAGUCAGUUACGCACGAGGAAGGGUGAGCACCCUCGUAACGCCCAAAAUUGGUACCGAAUUCAUUGAUUAAUAAAAACAAAUUUUUAUUUGGGCAAGGAAUUAGUUUAAAAUUAGGAAUUCAGUACCUUAUGGGGUAAAAAUAAGAGAAUAAAAUAUUUUAAUUGAAAAUGCACAAAAAUUCCAAACUUAGGACCAAAGAGAAUGCUAAGUUUUAACACUAGCAAACUCAGUCUUAACGUAAGCCUUCAAGAAAUUGGUUUUAAGGAUUUUGGCCAAGUAGAGAAAAUGAAUAAAAAUCAACAAAGGAUGCAAUCAAGGGAGUUUGAAUAUAAGACCUUAGCUUGCUUAACACUUUAACCAUUAAGCCUAGUAAUCUAUUCUUAUCAACAAUUAAUUUCUAAUAAAUUCUAAGUUCGCUUACCCUAUUCUUAUUAUUCUUUUAUAAAUUUAAAUUUCUUCUACCCCUAAUUUUGGGAUGUGACAAGGCAACUCAAGCUGUUUUGACGGUGUAUAAAAUGUAAGUUUAGCAAUUACGGUUAUCCACAAUCGAAUUGAAUUCUUCUUUAUUUAAUAUAUAAUUGAUUUUAAUUUUUUAUUAUAUAUAUUUAAAAUAAUGAAAAUAAUUUAAAAGUUUUUGUAAAAUCAUAAUUUUUUAGAACUAUUUAUGGAAGGCUUUCUACAUAAAUUUACAUAAAUAUUUAUGGUGAGGAUUGAAACUCAAUCAAUAAAAAAAAAAAGAGAAUCGAAAAUUGGAAGAAUAAAGUAAAUAAACACCCAAACUUUUGAAAGUAAAUAUUUUUUUUGAAAGGGAAACGAUUUGAUAUUUUUUGUUCAAUUGCUUGAAUCUGGUUGGAUAGUUUCUAUUUUCGUUUUAUUAAAUUUUCUUUUUCUCUGUUUGAAGACGACUUUAAAGAAAAGAGUAACAUGCUAAGGAAUUGCAUUGGACUCUGCAAAGAUAAAACACACAUUAAAAAUAUGUAUUAUUAGUUCUGUUGGACUUAAAGGUUUUGGGUUAUAACAGUAGUAGACAAUUGUGGUAAAGCUGGCUAUGGAAAUUCUACGGUAUCUGAUCCACUACUGCACAGGCCGUAAAAUAAGUUGGAACAAUUUUGGGGAGUUCCAAAGGUAUGGGAUGGCCCCGGUCUUACAUAACAAAUAAACAUCUCCCCGAGUAGUAGAACUCUAGUUCUUCUGUGUUUACUGCAUGAAAUUUGUGGAGAUGCUCCUAUAAGUUGGAAAACUAUGUCCGUAACUUGUCGGACCGUAUAGGUGGAUCCACGUGUGAGUCCCAUAGCUAAAUCCCAAAAUUCAUUAAAACAAAUAAGAGACAAUAAAGUAUAUAAAACACAAAUAGGAAUGUGAACGGAAAAUAAAAACAAUUUAUUCGAUAUACCUGGAUUUAAAUUUGUCCUAAGUUAAAUGGCCGAUUGGAAGUAUGACAGAGGAUGUUGUGCAAAGUCAGAACAUGUGCCAUGUUUCAUUCAUUCCUUGAACCAAAACCCACUGUCUGACCCUGUCGAUGCCAAGUUCGGCCAUAGUGUGGGCAAUUGGUUCCGAAGAGCUACAUCGCUUUUCAACAAGUUCUUUUAAAUAAGAAACCAAAAAAUUGAUUAGAUUACAGAUAAAUUACUUAAUAGUUUCAGGCGAAGAAUGUACGUAUGCAUACUCUGAGUUUUGAUUGUAAUAUGGUAGGUUGUGGAUUGGUGCGGGGAUGAUGUGUAUCAUAUGGGGGCACCGGCAUGUCAUGAGCGUAUUGCACCCAAAUUCCAUGUAUUUUGAAUUCAGUUGGGAUUGGGAGUUUACAGUUGAGAGUAGAGCUACAAACAGAGGGAGGCCACUGAAGUGCCAACUUGUAGAAGUCUACCACUGGAAUUAUUGGCGGCUGGGGUACUGCAAAUGCUACCCAUAAUGAAAAAUGAUACAAUGCAUUUUCACAAAUUUACAACGCAAAAGAAAACUACUCCAUAUAUGGAUAUUACAUGCAUAGAUGGUUGGGCUGAGAUUGGAUGAUUGUGCUUUGCAAGCAGCUGGUUUAUGAUCUCCUUUAUAAGCUUGGCACACAUAUUUCACAAAAUUUUCAAAGUCCUGCAACCAUGAAAUAAAUAUUGAAGUUACUUGUCACAAAAUUUUACUUCACAGUCACACCAAGAGAGAGAAAUAAACAAACUCACUUGUCUGAGUGGCUGAUUAUUCACCACCGGCCAUGGCACAUAUUCUUGAGGUGGCUUCAGAUGUGCAGUCUCGUUAGCAUAUUGCAGCAGAAGCUGCAUUUUAUUAUGUUAAGCAUGGACUGCAAUGCAACAGUCGACCAUGGUGAUGUCCAACAUAGCAGAUUAGCAUUCGAGCAAGACCAGAAGCAUUCAUUUUGUUUAGUUUGUUUUUGUAAUCUUUUGUAAAUGGAACAAGUUGAUAUGCAACUUGAUUUCAUAGCUGGUAGGAUAUGAAUUUGAUAGAUGUAUAGCUGAAUCAAUCAGCUUUUGAAUUUGUAUUAUUUUUGUAUUGCAAGUUGCUAAAACUGAUGGGAGCAGUUAUAUAAGUUAGGUAACUGUCAUACUACUUUUGUAACACAUAUAUUUCAAGGCUUUAAUGAAAAUUUUGAAUUGAGCCUCAUCGGUUACUUGUUGUUUGUGUUUCAAUCUUGUUCCUUUGCAAUUCCUUACUGUUUUAUGAGCUUAUGCUCAAGAAAGUUUCAUCUUAUUAUGUUUUGUUGCUGCCAUUUUAUCCAACAAAUGGUAAUCAGAGCCUCUUAUCUUUAGGGACCUCUGUGUUUAUGUUUUAGCUUUCAAAACAAAGUCAGUUUUUUUUUUGUUUCUGCAAAAUCAGUUUUCAGCAGCAUGAGUUUUGCUCCUCCUCCACCACCAGUUUUUGCUGGAGAUAACUACCAUAUUUGGGUAGUCAAGAUGAAGACAUACCUUCAAGCACUUGACCUCUGGAGUCAGUCGAGAGUGAUGUCGAGCCAGCACCUUUAAGAGCAAAUCCUACCAUUGCUCAGAUCAAGCAACAUGGUGAGGAAUGAGCCAAGAAACACAAAGCAAUGGCCUGUUUGCAGAAUAGAGUGUCGGAUGUUAUCUUUACUCGCAUCAUGGCCUGUGACUCUCCUAAGCAAGCAUGGGAUAGGCUUAAAGAGGAGUUUAUGGGAUCGGAUAAGACCAGACAACAACAGGUCAUUAACCUGAGAAGGGAGUUUGAGAACUUAAAAAUGAAGGAGUCAGAAACUAUUAAGCAAUAUUCUGACAGAAUUAUGGCAACUGUGAAUAAUAUAAGACUCCUAGGAGAGGAUUUUAGUGACAGUAGAGUGGUUGAGAAGGUGAUUACAACCCUUCCAGAGAGGUUUGAAUCGAAAAUCUCCUCAUUGGAGGACUCGAGGGACCUUACAACCAUUUCCUUGUCUGAAUUGGUUAAUUCUCUCUAUGCACUCGAGCAAAGGAGAGUUAGCAGACAGAAGGAGAAUCCUGAAGGAGCCUUCCAAGCAAGAACCAUGGAAGGAUUUAGCUCAAAUCAGAAAGCUAAGAAACCUUGGCUUGAAAGAAAGGAUAAGGCAAGGAGAGAAGCAAACAGAGAUGCAGGAAGAGGGAGGUUUCCACCAUGCAUUCACUGCAAAAAGACCAAUUAUCUGGAGAAUUUUUGCUGGACUAGACCAGACAUGCAAUGCAAAAGCUGUAAGAAGUAUGGCCAUCAUGAGAAAAUUUGUAGGAGUCAUGACAAGGCACAAGCACAGCCAGUUCAAGCCAAAACUGCUGAGGAUGUGCAGGCUCAGGAGGAGCAUGUGUUUACUGCUUCAUGUUUUGCAUUUAACAACAAGUGCAGCUGGCUUGUGGAUAGUGGUUGCUCACACCACAUGGCUGCAGAUGUAGGCCUUUUCAAGAACCUUGACAAGAGCUAUGUCUCAAAGGUCAAGAUUGGCAAUGGCAAUCUGAUUGAGGCAAAGGGGAAAGGUGAUGUGGUGAUACACACUGGUUCAGGUAACAAAGUUAUUUCUGAUGUGCUCUAUGUGCCAGAAAUAGACCAAAAUUUGCUAAGUGUAGGCCAGUUAGUUAGGAAAGGCUAUUCACUAGUUUUCAAGAAUGAUUCUUGUGUUAUAAGUGAUGCCUAUGGUAGGGAGAUAGUCUCGGCACCUAUGGCAGACAAAUGAUUUAUGCUGGAUGUGAGUCAACUUAAAAAAAAAACUUACACAAGCUCAAUGGAUGAUACUGAUCUUUGGCACAAGAGGUUUGGCCAUGUUAACCUCAAAUCACUUGAUUUGCUGCACAAAAUGAACAUGACAGAGGACAUGGUGAAGGUAGAUACAAGUGAAGGUGUUUGUGAGGUGUGUCAGCUUGGUAAACAAGCGAGGUUGCCCUUUUCAGCAAACCAGGCAUGGAGGGCUCAAGACAGACUUGAGUUGGUGCACUCAGAUGUCUGUGGACCAAUGAAAACAUCUUCACUGAAUGACAGUAAGUACUUUGUUUUGUUUAUUGAUUAUUUGACCAGAUUUUGUUGGGUGUAUUUCAUGAAACAGAAGUCAGAGGUGUUUGACAUGUUUGUGAAGUUCAAGGCUUUGGAAGAAAAUCAAGCAGGCUGCAAGAUUAAGGCCUUGAGGACAGAAAAUGGUACAGAGUACUUGUCUGAAAGAUUCCAGAAGCUAUGUGAGCAAGCUGGAAUCCAUCAUCAGUUGACUACAGUCUACACUCCUCAGCAAAAUGGAGUGAGUGAGAGGAAGAACAGGACUGUGAUGAACAUGACAAGGUGCUUGUUGUUUCAAAGCAAACUUCCAGGCAUCUUUUGGGCUGAGGGUGUCAAUACCUCAGUUUAUUUGCUCAACAGACUACCAACACAUGCUGUGAAGGACAAGAUACCUUUUGAAGCAUGGUAUGGACUUAAACCUGUUGUCUCACACUUGAAAUUGUUUGGCUGCAUAUGUUAUGUGCUUAUACCAGCAGAAAGAAGAACCAAACUUGAAAAGAGGUCGACUGCUGGAAUAUUUGUUGCCUACAGUGGCUGUAAGAAAGGCUACAGGAUAUUUGAUCCCUCGACCAAGAAGAUUUUGGUAAGUAGGGAUGUUAAAUUUGAUGAAACAAGUUUUUAGAACUUUGAUGGUUCAGAUACAAGUCAGUUUGAAGAAGAGGAAGGUGAUAGCAACCUGGAUUUGGCGAAGAGAGAGGCCAACAAUGCCAAUGUUGAUGAUGCUCCUGUGAGAGGGACUAGGUCCAUUGCUGACAUCUACCAGAGAUACAAUGUGGCCAUUAUUGAACCCUCAAAUUAUGAAGAGGCUGCUAGAAGCAAGAGCUGGAGGAAAGCUAUGGAGGCUGAAAUCGAUAUGAUCCACAAGGAUGAUACUUGGGAUCUGGUGGACAGGCCUGAACAGAGGAAGGUCAUUGGUGUCAGGUGGGUUUACAAGGCAAAACUCAAUGCAGAUGGCUCUCUUAACAAACACAAGGCAAGGCUUGUGGUGAAAGGGUAUAGCCAACAGGCUGGCAUUGAUUUUGAGGAGACUUUUGCUCCAGUAGCAAGGCUGGACACUAUCAAAUUACUGUUUGCCUUGGCUGCACAGAAGCACUGGAAGGUCCACCAGCUUGAUGUCAAGUCAGCCUUCUUGAAUGGUUUCCUUAAUGAGGAAAUAUAUGUAGAACAACCUGAUGGUUUCAAAGUCCAAGGAAUGGAGGACAAGGUUUAUAGGCUGAAGAAGGCACUUUAUGGUUUCAAACAGGCUCCUCGAGCCUGGUAUGACAGAAUCGAUGAGUAUCUGUCCAAACUCAGCUUUGAGAAAAGCCUGAGUGAACCAACUUUGUUUGUGAAGAAGUCCAAUGAUGAGACACUGCUGAUUGUGUCAAUUUAUGUAGAUGACUUGCUGGUUACUGAAAGCAAACUUGAACUGAUUCAAGAGUUCAAUGAGAAAAUACAGAUUAUGUUUGAAAUGACAGACUUGGGAAUUAUGAGCUAUUUCCUUGGUAUGGAAGUGUGUCAGAUUGACCAAGGUAUUUUCAUUGGCCAACAUGCUUUUGCAUCAAAGUUACUCACUAGAUUUCACAUGAAAAAUUGCAAACCAGUGAGUACUCCUCUGGUUAUAGGCCAGAAGUUGAGCAGCUAUGGAGAUGAAGAAAAAGUGGAUGAAAGGGAGUACAGAAGCUUAAUUGGAUGUUUGCUGUACUUGACAGCAACUAGACUUGACCUUAUACAUUCGGUCAGCUUGCUAUCUCGUUUCAUGCAUAGCUGCAACACAUCACAUUUGAAGGCAGCAAAGAGAAUCCUCAGGUAUGUGAAAGGAACCUUGAAGUUUGAAGUGAUGUUCAAGUCAGGAGGUCAGCUGAAGCUAUCUAGCUACUCAGACAGUGACUGGGGAGGUUCGAUUGAUGAUAUGAGGAGUACCUCAGGCUACCUUUUUUCAUUUGGCUCAGGAGCUUUCUAUUUGAGCUCCAAGAAGCAACAGACAGUUGCUCAAUCAACUACAGAGGCAGAGUACAUAGCAGCAGCUGGAGCAGUAAGCCAGGCUAUUUGGCUUAGAAAAUUGUUAUGUGAUUUGAAUGAGGAACAAUUCGAGCCUACUGAGAUUAUGGUUGAUAAUCAAUCAGCAAUUGCUAUCUCAAGGAAUGUUGUUUUUCAUGGAAAAAUAAAACAUUUCAAACUUAAGUUUUAUUUUGUUCGAGAGGCAGUGCAAUCGAAGGAUGUGAGUCUUGCAUAUUAAGCUCGCAAGACCAACUGGCUGAUAUUUUGACUAAGCCUCUUGGUGUUAUGAGGUUUGAACUUCUGAGGGAGUUGAUUGGUGUCUAUUGCCUACAGUCCAAGGAGGAGUGUUAAGCAUGGACUGCAAUGCAACAGUCGACCAUAGUGAUGUCCAACAUAGCAUAUCAGCAUUCGAGCAAGACCAGAAGCAUUCAUUUUGUUUAGUUUGUUUUUGUAAUCUUUUGUAAAUGGGACAAGUUGAUAUGCAACUUGAUUUCAUAGCUGGUAGGAUAUGAAUUUGAUAGAUGUACAGCUGAAUCAAUCAGCUUUUGAAUUUGUAUUAUUUUUGUAUUGCAAGUUCCUAAAACUGAUGGGAGCAGUUAUAUAAGUUAGGUAACUGUCAUACUACUUUUGUAACACAUAUAUUUCAAGCUUUAAUGAAAAUUUUGAAUUGAGCCUCAUCGGUUACUUGUUGUUUGUGUUUCAAUCUUGUUCCUUUGCAAUUGCUUGCUGUUUUAUGAGCUUAUGCUCAAGAAAGUUUCAUCUUAUUAUGUUUUGUUGCUGCCAUUUUAUCCAACAUAUUAACUUGGAAAUUCAAUGUUAGAAAAAGCUAAGGAGAAGUGUUAAUUAAAUACUAAUACAUGCAGCCAACCUUAUAUCCAAAUCCAGUAGUAUAGCAUUUGUUGAUUAUCUCCUCAUUCAAUCUCUGCCUUUCACUGCAAUUUUUCCACAGUGCUUCAACGGGCCCCCCCUUUUAGCUUUGUUGCUCUGUGCAGCAAAUGAAUUCCAAGUGUUCUUUCUGCACCACAGUUGAGUAAUUAAACACGAGUUGGAGACGAGUACAAAUACUUAUGGCUAAUAGAAGUUACCACAUCAGGCCAGAAACGGAUGACACAACUAUGUAUAGUGUUUAAGUGGCAUUCUUCUUGCUGGACAUUGUUGCAUAAACUAUAAUUAGUUACAGUAGAAGAAAGAAAUUGAACUUCAUUAGUUAAUAUUGAAAAUAUAUUAAAAUGAAGAAUGGAGUUGGAAACCUGGCAAUGGAUUUCAGCAUUGCUCCAAGGGACCAAUCUUAGAUUGAUAAUGGUAUGGAGGUCAGUGUGGAAGACCUUGACGAGGUCAUUGGAGAUAAAGGAGGCACAACGUGGACAUAAACUUGUUUCAUAGUACAGUGACACAGUAACCUUGUCAUUAACAUUAUCUAAAGAGGAAUGGGUGGGAGAAAUAAGCAUGAAUAUUGCAAGAGCAGCCAGAAUAUAGAAGAUCAAUGGUCGAAGAUAAGCCAUUAUUGUUUAAGUGAUAGCUUUUGCACAAUGCUGAACCUCCAUUAUGCGAGGGUUUUUAUAGUUGAGAAUGGGGAUGAUGACUAUUGUUUUCUUUCCCUUUCAGUAAACCAUGUGACGAGAAACAAUUAAUGUUGUUGCUAUAUCUAAUGCAGACGGGUUUCAGUAAACCAUGUGAUUAUAUAAGUUGGACACUUUUUUAAAAUAUUAAUUGUAAAAUUUAUGGCCCCAUACACACUGCAUGGGCUGUUCUUAUUUAGCUCAAUUAAUGGAUGCAUCCAUCUUUGAGCAAAGCUCAAACUGGGUUCCAAAAGAAGGAAAAAAUAAUGCUUAACCAUGUGCCAAUUAACAAUUUUUCUAAAAAAAUUUAAUCUUCUUUUUUGUUGAUUAUUUCAACUCCAAAAUACGUUAAAACAAUUCAUUAAAAUACAUUAACAUUACCUAAAGAGGAAUGGGAGGGAGAAAUAAGCGAAAAUAUUGCAAGAGCAGACAGAAUAUAGAAGACCAACGGUUGAAGAUAAGCCAUUGUUUUAGUGGUAGCUUCUGCACAAUGUUAAACCUCCAUUAUGCAAGGGUUUUUAUGGUUGAGAAUUGGGAUGAUCAUUAUUGUUUUCUAUCACUUUCAGAAACCACGUGACGUUAGCAUCCCUAAAAGAACUAUUAUAGACCACUUUAAAAAAUUAUUUACAUGAAGAUUGUUUAUUUAUGUAUGAGGUUCUUGCUUUUUCUAAUUUUACUUUGGAAAUUACAAAAAUAAUCAACAUUGUAGUUAUAUCUAAUACUAGUUUCAAUCACAUGUAAUAAGUUUCACGUUAAUAAAAUAAGUCCUUAAUUUUUCUUAACAUGGCUUUCGAUGUGUCUGUUUCAAUCUGUAUAAAUAUGGUGAAUCAACUUCACAAGUAAUUGCUUAUAACAAUUGAUAUAUAUGUAUAUAUAUAUGAACUUAACCAAACAUCCUCAAAGUGGUUGGAAUUUUGGUUUCUUAAAAAUUUUAGUAGGGUUUAAAACUUGAUUAAGAGUAUGGUAAUUAAUGGUUAGAGGAGAAAAUGAAUUGAUUUGUUUUUAUAAGUACUGUUAGUCUUUCACAUGAAAUAGUGUAAGAAUCUCAAUUUAACAAAAAUGAUUUGCUUUUAUCAAAGUCUCAAGAUUAUAAGGUAGCAUUGGUUGGCUGGUAUUUUCAUGCGUAAAAAUAUAUUCAUUUUGGUUAAAUUGUGAUUUUUUCUACACUUGUAUGUGACUCACACUAGCAGGUAAAUUCUUUCGUUUGUUGAGUAAAUUAAAUUAUCAAAGGUGUUCGAAGUCAAAUAUUAACUUAAAUGUUGCAAUAAUUAAUGCGUAAAAGCCAAACAUUUAAUGCAUGAAAGCUACUUCAAUUUUGCUAAUCAUUUUUAUUAAAUUGUUAUUCAUAAAAAUUUUUAUUGCUUGCCAGAUACAUAGCACAAUUCUAUGACGUUGGUCGGCUAUUAAAUUGGCCGUAAAAUAAGUUGGAACAAUUUUGAGGUGUUCCAAGGAGUUGGAAUAAUCUCGGCCUUCCAUAAAAAUAUACCUCUCCCGAAGUAGUAGAACACUAAUUCUUCUGUGUUACAGAAAAUGCAUUAUGGAGUUGGGAGUUGAAGCGCCAAAUUAUAAAAGAAAUAUAAAGGUCAGGGAUCAAAACUAAAAAUUAACGAAAAUUGAAAAUUGACUACUUUUAUAUAAUUAAAAAGCAGAGGGUCUCCAACUGAAAGUUAACCAUUAUUGUUAAGCACUGGGGUGAUAGUUAACCAUCAUAGUUUUUUGUCACUUCCAAUAAACCAUGUGACAAAUUUUCAAAGUCAUCAUCUCUAGAGAGCAAUUAUACAACACCUUAAAAAGGAAGACUUGAAAUUGGGUCUUUAGAUGGAGAAACAAGAUAUGCAGCUUAAAUUGUGGAUCAGUUUCAUAUAUAAGGUUGCUUGUGAAAGAGUAUAAACAAGGUGUAAUUGAUGACUUAAUAAUCUGGUAACCCCAAAUCACUGUAAUCGGUGGAAUUCGUCUUUGUUUAGCUACUUUCAGCUAUUUUGGGUAUAAAAUUUUUGAGAAAUGUCUUCGUUUGGGUUCAAAUUGUAGAUAAGUAUAACUGAUUAUUGCAUUCUAAGAAAUGGAAACUCAAGUGAAAUACAUGUGGGUUAUAGUAUUUAUUGUGAGUAUAAGCAUUGCAGGAUUCCAUGGAGUGGAUGUAACUCAUGAUUAUUAUGGUCCUGUGGGAAGCAUGACGUACAGAAGGAAGCUCAGAAGCUGUCUCCAUGUACAUACGCAACCAAAUUCCGGAGAGCUCCAGUUUCCGAGCGUUGCUGCGCUAUAAUAGAGAAAAAGCUUAGCAAUCCAGACCGUCUCUGUGCUAUUUUGCAAACUCGUAUGCUGGAGUGAGAAAUGAAAUCCAAGUGUAGCUAGUUUUCUCAAAUCAUAUUUGAUCUUUAGGAUAUCAUCCUUAUUAUUUAGGGAUGGCAAAACUCAAACCAUCAUUCAGAAUAGAGAGGAUUUUCUUUUGAAAGUGAAUGCAGAUUGAAUUUUAUAGUAGUUAAAGCAAUUAACAAACAGGCUUGUAACACAAGGUAACUUGAAAAAAGUACCAUAAUUUCACUCACUCGAACGAAAUGGGAUCAUGGCAACAUAGAUUCGUGGCUGAUCCGAUGCUCGUGUUGUGGUGUUCAUCGGAUCUUCAUCUGUUUAAGAAUCUUAACCAUCAGGUGAGACCUGUUUUGGAUUAAGUUAUAAAAAUUAUGCCACUUACAGCAAUUAUUUUAAUUAGUUAAUGACAACCUUAAACAUCAAAUCCUCUUCGACUUGCAAUUUUUUUCCGCAGAAAACAAUAUCAACAUCUAAGCAAUCUUAUAGAUAUCUAACCAACAAAAACCAAAUAUAAACUGAACAAUUCUCCAAAUACAGAAACCAGGAAAUAGUUAACAUCUCAAACAUAUAACCCAAACAAUAAUAGCAAUAUUAAGAAGCUCACAACAAAAAAUUCCUAUUACAUCUUACACAUAUAUGUUCUAGCUCCACAUCCCUCUUCAUAUUCAGUAUCCAUUUCAUGCCUUCUUCAUAUUUAGUAUUCAUUUGAUGCAUCUCUCGCUGGUUGACGUAUUACAUGUUUCUCAAUAUUCUCUUGUAUUCCAUUGAUACGAACCAGGCUCUCUAAAUAAGCAUGAAGGGAGAUGGUGAACCGAAAAUGAUCUAGAUAAGUAUUAAUCUGAAGCUCCUUAAGCUCUUGGGUGGAGGCGUCAAAUAGGAGUACUUCAUCAUUUGUGUCUCUAAGAAACAAGUCACCAUUUUUUCCAAAUCCCAGUGGGUGUACAACUCCAGAAAUGGAUUUAAUAUUGAAUUGUUUAGUCCACACUCCUUCACUUGUAACCCAUAAAUCAAAAGACGUGUCAAUUCUUUCCGUUGGGUAAACAAUAGCACCAAGUGAUCCAUUAAACACCAAUAGAUUAACAUAGUAUUCUGGGAAAGACCCAACGAAUUCUGGGAUAGGUAAAAUUGAGAACUUCUCAUUCCCCAUGUCAAAUGAAAGAAUUAGUCCUCUAAAAUCAAGAUAUGCCCGUCUCUGUUUUCAUAUAGCAAAUUCCGUCUAC